AACAACGCUGGCGGCGUGUCUUAAGCAUGCAAGUUGAGCGGCAAGGCGGAGCAAUCCGCCCUAGAGCAGCGGACUGGUGAGUAACGCGUGGGUGAUCUGCCUCGUGGGAUGGGGAUAGCCACUAGAAAUAGUGGGUAAUACCGAAUGAGGUCAUAGAGUUGCGGCCCUAUGAUGAAAGGCGCUACGGCGCCACCUGGAGAUGAGCCUGCGUCCCAUUAGCUAGUUGGUGGGGUAAAGGCCUACCAAGGCGAUGAUGGGUAGCCGGCCUGAGAGGGUGUACGGCCACACUGGGACUGAGAUACCGGCCCAGACUCCGUACGGGAGGCAGCAGCUAAGAAUAUUCCGCAAUGGACGAAAGUCUGACGGAGCGACGCCGCGUGGAUGACGAAGGCCGAAAGGUUGUAAAAUCCUUUUGUCGAGGAAGAAUAAGCUAGGGAGGGAAUGCCCUGGUGAUGACAUGAAUCGAUGAAUAAGCCCCGGCUAACUACGUG
rnacentral:rRNA from 1 species